AGCGGAGGAAAAGAAACCAACAGGGAUUACCUCAGUAACGGCGAGUGAAGCGGUAACAGCUCAAAUUUGAAAUCUGGCUCUUUCAGAGUCCGAGUUGUAAUUUGUAGAAGAUGCUUUGGGUGUGGCUCCGGUCUAAGUUCCUUGGAACAGGACGUCAUAGAGGGUGAGAAUCCCGUAUGUGACUGGCUGCCUUCGCCUAUGUAAAGCUCUUUCGACGAGUCGAGUUGUUUGGGAAUGCAGCUCUAAAUGGGAGGUAUAUUUCUUCUAAAGCUAAAUAUUGGCCAGAGACCGAUAGCGCACAAGUAGAGUGAUCGAAAGAUGAAAAGCACUUUGGAAAGAGAGUUAAACAGUACGUGAAAUUGUUGAAAGGGAAGCGCUUGCAACCAGACUUGCCUGCCGUCGAUCAUCCUGGGUUCUCCCUGGUGCACUCGGCGGUGGUCAGGCCAGCAUCGGUUUCGGUGGUGGGAUAAAGGCCUUGGGAACGUAGCUCCUCUCGGGGAGUGUUAUAGCCCUCGGUGCAAUGCCGCCUACUGGGACCGAGGACCGCGCUUCGGCUAGGAUGCUGGCGUAAUG
rnacentral:rRNA from 1 species